CUGGAUUCUGAACACAGCUCUGUUUAUUGCAGAGACAGAUGCAAUACAUAAAAACUCAGAAAAGGGGUAGAAAAGAGUCAAGGGUCUGGGGUGUGUUUAUACCCACACACACGAUUAUGAUGGAGAAUAGGGAGAGCCAUCGGUUAGCAUGCAAUACUGAUAUAACAGCACAGAGCAGAGCAAUGCAAGGUUGUGAGUUUGUGCCUCACCUGGAGCAGUUCUUUUGGGGUGGUGCUCUGUGGCUAAGGAUCUGUGCCUGUGACCGGAAGGUUGCCGGUUCAAAUCCCACAACCGGCAGAGGAAUCCUGCUCCAUUGGCCCCUGAGCAAGGCCCUUAACCCCCACUGCUCCAGGGGUGCUGUAUAAAUAGCUGGCCCUGCACUCUGACCCCCAGCUUCUCUCCCUGUCUGUGUGUCUCAUGGAGAGCAGGCUGAGGUUUGUGAAAAGACAAAUUCCUAAUGCAAGAAAUUAUAUAUGGCCAAUAAGGUGAUCUUAAUCUUAAUCAAGAAAGCUGAAAUUGAAAACGAGGGAGGCCCCUGUCACAUGAUGAGGGUACACGGCCUCAGGAAGCGCGGACGUGACGUAUUUUCCGGCGAUGGCGGGCGAAGAUGGCGGCCGGUAGCGCUAAGGGCUCAUUUGAAUCCAGGCAGUAAACACAGCGCGCGAGUGUUUGAUAAGGGACCCGGGGCUCAAAACCCGCUCCCGGUGAUUACCAGAUCUUGGCUUCACGGAACGGCCGGUGCUCUGGAAGAAGCAAGGUCUGCCUCUGGAUCCGUGUUCGCGUCUGGGGUGAGAGGGAGACAGCGCCACCAUGGGGCGAAGAUCGACGUCCUCCACCAAGAGUGGGAAAUUCAUGAACCCCACUGA
rnacentral:lncRNA from 1 species